rnacentral:rRNA from 1 species
UGGGGAAUUUUGGACAAUGGGCGAAAGCCUGAUCCAGCCAUGCCGCGUGAGUGAAGAAGGCCUUCGGGUUGUAAAGCUCUUUUAGUCGGAAAGAAAGAGUUGCAAUGAAUAAUUGUGAUUUAUGACGGUACCGACAGAAAAAGCACCGGCUAACUACGUGCCAGCAGCCGCGGUAAUACGUAGGGUGCGAGCGUUAAUCGGAAUUACUGGGCGUAAAGGGUGCGCAGGCGGUCUUGCAAGUCAGAUGUGAAAGCCCCGGGCUUAACCUGGGAAUUGCGUUUGAAACUACAAGGCUAGAGUGCAGCAGAGGGGAGUGGAAUUCCAUGUGUAGCAGUGAAAUGCGUAGAGAUGUGGAAGAACACCGAUGGCGAAGGCAGCUCCCUGGGUCUACACUGACGCUCAUGCACGAAAGCGUGGGGAGCAAACA